UACGUAGGGCGCAAGCGUUAUCCGGAAUUAUUGGGCGUAAAGAGCUCGUAGGCGGUUUGUCGCGUCUGCCGCGAAAGUCCGGGGCUCAACCCCGGAUCUGCGGUGGGUACGGGCAGACUAGAGUGAUGUAGGGGAGACUGGAAUUCCUGGUGUAGCGGUGAAAUGCGCAGAUAUCAGGAGGAACACCGAUGGCGAAGGCAGGUCUCUGGGCAUUAACUGACGCUGAGGAGCGAAAGCAUGGGGAGCGAACAGG
rnacentral:rRNA from 1 species